GAUGAACGCUGGCGGCGUGCCUAAUACAUGCAAGUCGAGCGAACAGACGAGGAGCUUGCUCCUCUGACGUUAGCGGCGGACGGGUGAGUAACACGUGGAUAACCUACCUAUAAGACUGGGAUAACUUCGGGAAACCGGAGCUAAUACCGGAUAAUAUAUUGAACCGCAUGGUUCAAUAGUGAAAGACGGUUUUGCUGUCACUUAUAGAUGGAUCCGCGCCGCAUUAGCUAGUUGGUAAGGUAACGGCUUACCAAGGCAACGAUGCGUAGCCGACCUGAGAGGGUGAACGCCACCACUGGACCGGGGCACCGGUCCAGCCCCCACGGGGGGGAAGCGGUGGGGAAUCUCCCGCAAUGGGGGAAAGCCUGACGGAGCAAAGCCGGGGGGGUGAUGAAGGGUUUCGGUUCGUAAAACCUUGUUAUUGGGGAAAAAAAAAUGGGUAAGUAACAAUGCCCGUUUUGAGGGUACUAAAUAAGAAAGCCCCGGCUAACUACGU
rnacentral:rRNA from 1 species